UUGCUGGCUCCCGCGGUGAUGGAUCACCGUUUCAGUGGCAUUUAAAUCCCCGGCGCUCCUCAGUCUAGGUGACGCGCAGUCGCCCCCCCAGGCAGCCCAGGCGACGGCGGCAGCUGCGACGGCUGCAAGGACAGAUUCGCAGCGCUGGGACGAAGGGGAGCAGAGGCUGCCUUCUGCGCGCGCCGACUCCGCUCCCCCCCACCCCCCACCCCCCGAGAGGUGGGGGCUGGGAGGCAUCCCUCCGUCUCCGCCCCUCCCCAUCGCGCGCAGAAAGAUGUACUGGCAAGAGGUCUGUUUGCCUGGACCCAUCAACAGCUGGGAGACUAAUCAACCACACUGAAAAUGUUUGGGGAUUUGUGGGAGAGGGGUUAGAAUGUAGAUGUUUGAAACAAAUGUGUAUAAAUAAAUGAAUUAUUGAUAACUUA